CGAUUGUUAAGUACCAUUGUAGGUUGUCCG
rnacentral:piRNA from 1 species